GAGAAGAACCAGGGAACACUGACACUUUAUGAAACAACAGGGAAAUAAAUACCUGUGAAUUGUCCCAGAGGACUGAGGGAGGGCUUCUCUAAAAAGGAUGAAUCACCUCUUGCCUGCUUUUCUUCAGCUACAUCAACUAGAUGACUUGCUCACAGUUGUUAUUACAGAACUGACAGCUCUCUGGGAAAGCAAACAUUGACAAUGUCUGAAACCCAAAGCAUGGGACCCUGGCUAUAGGGUUGCUCUACAAGUGGCUAUUCUACAAGUCUGAAAAAUACAAAUUUUUUUAGAAGGAUCUCGAUAUAGUCACGGAAUGAUUGAGCUUCUCACUCUGAAUAAAUAGGCUGUUUGGGAUAUCCCAGCCAAAACAAAACAAACGAACAAACAAACAACCACCACCACCAACAAACAACACUAUGAAGUACUGCUGUUAUUCUCAGAACAAUUUUUAAAGCAAAAAGUGAAUCAAAGAGAAAGAACAUGUUUGUGUCUACAAACCCUAUCCCCUAUUUAAACAAUCUCUGGCAUC